CGACGGCUAUGCUUCCUCAGCCCGAACGGCAUCGAAGUAACGACUGGAUAAAACAAGCUUCUUAUCCGAAAUUCACG
rnacentral:ncRNA from 1 species